rnacentral:hammerhead_ribozyme from 1 species
GACUGCUGAGGAGUCCCACAAUAGGACGAAACGGCCGUCCACCGC